AGAGGUCUAGCCUGCCCAGUGACUGAAAUUCAACGGCCGCGGUACCCUGACCGCGCGAAGGUAGCGUAAUCACUUGUUUUUUAAAUAAAGACUAGUAUGAAUGGCAUCACGAGGAUCAAACUGUCUCCUUUACAUAAUCAGUGAAACUAAUCCCCCCGUGAAAAAGCAGGGAUUAAACUACAAGACGAAAAGACCCUAUGGAGCUUCAAAUACAUAACUAUGCCCCCCCCGCACUAGUUAUAAAUUUUAGGUUGGGGUGACCGCGGAGAAAAACACAUCCUCCAUAACGAAUAAGUUUACUUUAAACAAAAAGUCACAACUUCAUGUAUCAACAAAUUGACAUGCUGAUCCAAUAAUCUGAUCAACGAACCAAGUUACCCUAGGGAUAACAGCGCAAUCCACUUUAAGAGUUCAUAUCGACAAGUGGGCUUACGACCUCGAUGUUGGAUCAGGGUAUCCCAGUGGUGCAGCCGCUACUAAAG
rnacentral:rRNA from 1 species